rnacentral:rRNA from 1 species
GGCCAGACUCCUACGGGAGGCAGCAGUGGGGGAUAUUGCACAAUGGGGGGAACCCUGAUGCAGCGACGCCGCGUGAGUGAAGAAGUAAUUCGUUAUGUAAAGCUCUAUCAGCAGGGAAGAAUAAAUGACGGUACCUGAGUAAGAAGCCCCGGCUAACUGCGUGCCAGCAGCCGCGGUAAUACGUAGGGGGCAAGCGUUAUCCGGAUUUACUGGGUGUAAAGGGAGCGUAGACGGCUGUGCAAGUCUGGAGUGAAGGGCAUGGGCUCAACCUGUGGACUGCUUUGGAAACUGUGCGGCUUGAGUGUCGGAGAGGCAAGUGGAAUUCCUAGUGUAGCGGUGAAAUGCGUAGAUAUUAGGAGGAACACCAGUGGCGAAGGCGGCUUGCUGGACGAUGACUGACGUUGAGGCUCGAAAGCGUGGGGAGCAAACAGGAUUAGAUACCCGGGUAC